rnacentral:rRNA from 1 species
AUGGAUGGCCGCACUGUCUCCUUCUGGAUGGACCGAUGGCUGCCAUGUGGUCCUAUUGCGGCAGCGUUCCUUGCACCCUUCUCACACUCCGUUUCGGUGGAGGUGACGGUCUGGCAAGUUCGAGCCGAUGGGCUCCGCCGACACCUUGUGCCGCGCCUCACGCGGGUCGGGGAGCAGGAAUUAGCUGCGGUCUCAACCAUGAUCUCAACCGCGCCGGUCCGAGGCGGGGAGGACGAGCGGUCUCUCAUCCACAUCGCCGCCCCAGGUGGGCGCCUGUCGUCUCCCAAAGCAUACCGGCUGCUGAGGUUCGGCGGGAGGACCUUACAUUGGGCUCAGUUCAUCUGGGAUGCGCGGGUGCCGCCCAGAGUCAAAUUCUUCUGUUGGCUGAUGGCGCAGCGACGCAUUCACACCAGAGACGUGCUGCUGAAGAAGCACAUUGUCGAAGCAGAUGGGGCCAGGUGUCCAAUCUGUGAAAGGGAGCCGGAGAGUGCGGACCAUCUGGUCUUCUCCUGCCCGUUUGCAGCGGCUUUCUGGAGACAUGUUGGCAUCUAG